UACGAAGGGGGCUAGCGUUGCUCGGAAUUACUGGGCGUAAAGGGUGCGUAGGCGGGUCUUUAAGUCAGAGGUGAAAUCCUGGAGCUCAACUCCAGAACUGCCUUUGAUACUGAGGAUCUUGAGUUCGGGAGAGGUGAGUGGAACUGCGAGUGUAGAGGUGAAAUUCGUAGAUAUUCACAAGAACACCAGUGGCGAAGGCGGCUCACUGGCCCGAUACUGACGCUGAGGCACGAAAGCGUGGGGAGCAAACAGG
rnacentral:rRNA from 1 species